rnacentral:rRNA from 1 species
GACGUAGGGAGCGAGCGUUGUCCGGAUUCAUUGGGCGUAAAGAGCGCGCAGGCGGUUUGGUAAGUCGGAUGUGAAAUCCCCAGGCUUAACCUGGGAACUGCAUCCGAUACUGGAUGGCUUGAAUCCGGGAGAGGGAUGCAGAAUUCCAGGUGUAGCGGUGAAAUGCGUAGAUAUCUGGAGGAAUACCGGUGGCGAAGGCGGCAUCCUGGACCGGCAUUGACGCUGAUGAGCGAAAGCUAGGGGAGCAAACGGG